UGGUUCGAAGCCUAUAUACAUAACUAAUGUAAUCUAACAGGCUUCCUACAUGCACGCUAAACAUGUAAUCUACAUAUGCAUACUGUUAUACUAAUCUUACCUGGAUUCCGAAUUCAGGUGUGCCGGUCAACCUGACUGGAACUGUAGCUGAGUGGCGGAUUACUGGCUCCUAAACCAUAAAAAUCACAACGCUAUAAGUGACACGCUAAAUCACUUCCCGGGGACUUAAACUAGGAACUAAAAGUUUCCCUAUCGAUAAAAAGCAUGGCAAUACCCCUUAAAACAUAAAAACGAGGAAAAACACGGGUUCUGAAAAUUCCCCAACCGGCAGACCGGUUGCCCAACCGGAAUUCCGGUUCUGGGAAUUACUGGACCCUCAUCCGGAAUUCCGGUUGCCCAACCGGAAUUCCGGUUCCUCGCAGGAAUUUUUCAAAAAUUCAUAACUCGAUCAAUUCUAACCCAAAUCAUACAAGAUCUUCCAGACCUGUUCUAUAUGCCCCAAAUAACCAUUCAAAGGCAACAAAAUCACCCAGAACUCACAGAAUCACAAAACACCAUUAAAGACCAAGCUUUGAGUUCCAAAACUCAACUUGGUUAGAAUCCACUAAUCAUGCAAUCAAACUAGAUCAAACCUACAUAAUUAUGCAUAACUAAGCCUCUGAAACCAACUAAGAACAUCCAGCAACUUCACAGCAACAAUUUGAACCAUUUCAUUCAAAAAUUCAUAACUUUUUCACAUAAAAAUCUAACCAACUAGAACAAGAACUUAAGCAUGCAAUUCAAUCUCAUCAAACCUACUGAAUUCAACACUUAAAUCACGGAAACAACAACAACAAUAACCAGCAGCAACAACACCAAAACAUCAUGCAUGCAUUACCAUUUUCAUCAUCUUUUUCAAGAAAUUACAACAAGAAAAGGUUAGAAACUUUACCAAAGAUUUGAAGAACACUUAGAUUGGAUGAAACUAGCUUGAAAAUUGAAGAAAAUCCAGCCCUUGAACCCCAAGCUUUCAGCCGAAAAAGAGAGAGAGAAAAGAGAGAAAAAGCUUUUCCAAUAUUUCUAAUUUUUAAACUUAGAGAUUUUUUUUUUUUUUGAUAAAGUGAAUUAAACCCCCAUUACAUAAACCUUAUUUCAGCCAAUAAAAUAAACAAAUAACAUUUAUUUUCCAUUUCAUAAAAUCACAAAAGACAAAAUACUAAUGGGGCAAAAAGACCAUUUUGCCCCUCCACCAAAAACUACAUAAAUCAUACUAAAGGGGUAUUUUUGGGAAAUUCUAAAUUCCCAGCCAUUCCCGACAUUCCCAAUGUCUAAAACCCGUCCCCAAACUACUAACAUACUAAGUUGUGAUUUCUACUGAGCCAAACGCCGAGUUCCAAAAUACCGGGCACCGGAAAUGCAAAAUAUGAAAACUACUGAAUAACAUAACCAUGCAUUUCUGAAUUCCAUAAAUAACAGUAAUAAAUUAUUUAAAUAGCUAUAAAUAAUUUCAUAAUUAAUCACAAUUAACUGAUAAUUUCCAAAUUAACUAAGCGGGCUUUACAAUAAUUUUCCUGUCAUAUUUUUCAUUUAAAUCUUCUGUUUCAGUUCACCCCUUUGCCUGUGUGGCAUGGUCGUGGUUACCGCUCCCUUGGUUUUUGUUUUGGUAAUAUUUGUUACAUUAGCGAUGUUAGUGAAAUACCUGAAGAAACUUAUCCACUCCUCAAGGAUUGUGAAAUCCGGUUUAUAUAUUUUGUAUAUAAACAUUGUCCUAUAAAUAUUUCUUCUGUAAAAUAUAUUUAUGAAAUUAUAUUUUUUUGCUGUUGUAAUGUAUUCCUUUUCCUAU